GACGGUGAUUGGCUCCAUGUGUGUGAGCCUCUGUGUGAGCCUCCAUGACCCCAGGAAGUGGCCGACAGUGUAUGAGUAGGAGAGAAUCUGGAGACUGCUGCAGCUGGGGAGGAGCGUUCAACCUGGAGCUUCAUCAAACCAGGAAAGAGGCAAUUAAAUUCACACUUUGAAAGGAAACCGCAGUACCCGGAGGAAACCCCCGAGGCACAGGGAGAACAUGCAAACUUCACACACACAAGGUGGAAGCGGGAAUUGAACCCCGACCCUGGAGGUGUGAGGAAAAUGCUAACCACUAAGCCACCGUGCCCCCCUCGGGUGCAUCUUAAUUAAUUAAUUAAUUAAUUAAUUAGAAUGUUGUGGAAAAGUUCAGUAAUUCAACUCAAAUAGUGAAACUCGUGUGUUAUAUAAAUUCAGUACACACAGACUGAAGUAGUUUAAGUUUCUUUGGUACUUUUAAUUGUGAUGAUUUUGGCUCACAUUUAACAAAAACCCUCCAAUCUCAAAAAAAUUUAAUAAUUUUUUAAAAAAAAACAUUUUUAGUGAAUUGCCAAAUCCUGCUAUAAAAUGAAAUUAGCAUCUUUAAAAAGCUGGUCAGCAGAAGGAAGCAUUAAGUGCUCUAAAAUUUCUUGGUAAACGUGUACAGUGACUUUAGUUUAUAAAAAACACAGUGGACCAACUCCAGCAGAUGACAUUGCAACCCAAAUCAUCACAGACUGGCACAAAAUAGGCAAAUACAGCAUGUAA